GUCAAAGUUGCAAUUAUUUUUGUUUGCUUGGCUCUGCCCAGUAGAGCGAAAAAUAAGAAGGCGCUGUUGAAUUGUUAUUACUUAUUAGAGCUUUAGCUUACAACUAAAAGAUUCAUCCCCCAAAAACAUACAUGUUAAAUUAAAGGCCUGUUUAGGUAAUGACUGAUAAUUGCAAGGAUAUGCAAGUUAGUCUAACUUGAAAUGAAAUUCAUUUGUCUAGUUGACAUCUACAAUAGUAAAGGAUGUACAAAAGAUUUCCAGUUUAAUUUUAUUUGCACAUUAUGCGCAAGUAUGGUGCUAUUCAAUCAUCAAGGAGGAAAAUAAAUAAGUGAUCCAGGAUGGAGUUCUAGUGGGCUAGUCCUUUAAUAGAUUGUUUUAUAUAUGUCCUAUAUAAUUUUCCACAUUAUAUAGCCUAGAAGAAUCCAUAUGU
rnacentral:misc_RNA from 1 species